rnacentral:rRNA from 1 species
UACGGGGGGGGCAAGCGUUGUUCGGAAUUACUGGGCGUAAAGGGCGCGUAGGCGGCCUGUUAAGUCGAACGUGAAAUCCCCGGGCUCAACCCGGGAACUGCGUCCGAUACUGGCAGGCUUGAAUUCGGGAGAGGGAUGCGGAAUUCCAGGUGUAGCGGUGAAAUGCGUAGAUAUCUGGAGGAACACCGGUGGCGAAGGCGGCAUCCUGGACCGAGAUUGACGCUGAGGCGCGAAAGCCAGGGGAGCAAACGGG